AUUGAACGCUGGCGGCAGGCCUAACACAUGCAAGUCGAACGAGUGGCGGACGGGUGAGUAAUGUCUGGGAAACUGCCUGAUGGAGGGGGAUAACGACCGGAAACGGUAGCUAAUACCGCACACCAUCAGAUGUGCCCAGAUGGGAUUAGCUAGUUGGUUGGGUAACGGCUCACCAAGGCGACGAUCCCUAGCUGGUCUGAGAGGAUGACCAGCCACACUGGAACUGAGACACGGUCCAGACUCCUACGGGAGGCAGCAGUGGGGAAUAUUGCACAAUGGGCGCAAGCCUGAUGCAGCCAUGCCGCGUGUAUGAAGAAGGUCUUCGGGUUGUAAAGUACUUUCAGCUGGGAGGCGUUACCCACAGAAGAAGCACCGGCUAACUCCGUGCCAGCAGCCGCGGUAAUUC
rnacentral:rRNA from 1 species